UAAUAACAACAAUGUUAUUAAUAACAUUAUGAUGUAAGUGUUUACUUACAUCAUAAGUAAACACUGAUUACUUAUGAUGAUGCAUCCAGUGGGCUUUUGUGCCUUGUUAAAUAAAAAAGUUAUUAAUUUCCAUUUCUCUGUGUCUAUUUGUUAAUAAAACAAUACUAACAUGAUUUACAGUGUAAGAUUAAAAUAAAGGUAUUCAGAAAAUACUACAUUUUUAGGAAAGAAAACUAAUAUUUCCAUCAGGACUGUAAUCAGAAAAUUAAAAGAAGUUAUGAGUUUUCCUGAGAACAUACUGGGUUAUUAUAGGAUAUUGCAAAAGUCAUUCUCUGCCAUGGUACAGCCAGAAGAAAGCUGUAAAGAGUGAUUCGUUCUGCAGCAAGUUGAGGGCAUAAUGGAUUUAUUAAGUAUCUGGAAAUCCUGGGGGAAAUAUUAUACCUUUACAGUAGUGUCUUUCAAUCAGAUAUGCCAUAGAUGACGUUCUCUUUUAAAAUAUUCAAUAAUGUGCAGGAUCCCAAGUAAGUACAGUAUUAAAUGUUUAAAUUAUUUAAUCUUUAGAUUUUCCUGUCAGAAUAUUUUAAUACAAAAUAUCAUACCUGAAUUCCCGAUUACGGAACAUUUUGCUUUGGUUACUUUUUGCUCAAUAACAUUACCAAGGUGACUUAAUUUGAAGCUAGUCAGUGGUUUGUGAUCCAGUGGCAGGGUUAAUGACUGAUUUAUUAUCAGUUCAAAGACUUUGUUGUCAUAUAUUUUUCCUGAAAUUCAGUUUUUUAGAGGUUUACCAGUUAAUGGGUUAAAUAGUAUAUCCGCAGUUACAAGGAGAAAGCAGAAUAAUUACAUCUUAUUUUCAAAAAGCCUUCAUAUUUGCAUGUAUAUAUUCUACCCAAUCAGACAUAUUAUUAUUAACAUCAUAUGCCCUCUACAUGUUGGUGCCAUAACAGUCAAAACACCAUAUAGACUUCUGGCAUUUCCCAUCCCACCAUGACCCCUUGCACCACCUUCUGGCUCCCAUUUCCAGCUGAGGGAACACCAUUUUCAAAGCUAAUUUUCAUCAUAAGGAGUCUUUUGGGCUGCACUUUGUUUGAUACCUCAUUAAACAUUAAACAGCACUUCUAUUCUUUGAAAUCCUUUUCAUUUUUUCUGUAACAUUAAAAUUUUCUAAGAAGCUUUCAGGAUUUCAUUUGCUGUAAGCAAUGAAAUAAAAAAACACUUGAAAUACAGUGUGCAAAAUCUGUAUUACAUAUGGACUUCAUGUUUUCAGUAUAAUUACUGAAUGGUAACAAUUAAUUCAACUGUCUACCACCAGAUGGCAGCACAUCAAGGGAGAUAUGACCUUUUUCAGGUCAUGUCUUGUUAACAGAAGGCUCACAGAUGAAAUUUGAAAGGCCUAAAAGUCCCUAAGCUCUCAGAGAAACAGUGUAACACUUAACAGAGUGAAAUCAUGUUUAAUCAAAUCCUCUGAAAAUGUACAAUAAAAAUUAUUUUAAGAUAAUAAAUUUUACUUAAAAAUUAUAUUGCUUACGGGAUAAGCUUCUUUUCUAAAGGCUUUAAACUUUUUACGUUUGUGAUUUUUUUUCAUAUUGAAGGUGAGUUGUUGCUCAUGUCAUCUUCAUCUUACUGUUUUGAAAUUCUACAAUAGGCUUUGAGAAAAAAAUAUAUUAUUUUUUUACUUCAGGAUUCACACAAGAAUAUACAACAUAAACAUUUUCCUUUGGAGAAGAUGUCACUCUAGCAUGCAAUUUACAAACUAAUUUGUCAAGUUUCUUCUUCUGGAUGAAAUUUGUUGCUGAAAAAAAAAUACUCCAGUUCUUUUGACAAUUAAAAUUGGAGCACUUGUUCCAUUGCUAAAACUCAGCUUUUCAUCAGGAAGCAAUUCACUUUUUUGAAGUACAGCAGCUGUACAUACUAAAACAUUGUAGCAUGAAGACAUCAGGAGAAAACUGAGGUGCUCCAACAUCUUCAUCUUCCACAAAAACAAUCGGGCCCAAGAUUGUUGGCCACAAUAUUUUAACAUGAUUGAUGCAACACCUUCAUUAAUGAAUUGACGUUACUAAAAGAAGUCCCAAUUUCUUGCUGUUUUUUGUUUUGAAAAAAUAUGAGAAUUAAAUAUCGGCUAAUGCUUAUAUGCUUAGGAACCUUGUUGUAAUAUCAGAUGACAUGCCUUAACAAUGUAAUUCAUUUAAUUGAAACGUUAAUAGUUUGUCAAACAAGGCUUGGUGAGUGCAUAACAUUUAAUAUUUUUAUAUUCCCCUUACUUUUCCCUUUCAGCAAGAGAUAAAUCUCCACAGAUCAAAUACAGAAUUAUUUUAAAUAAAACUUAAAUAAAGUUGACCAAUGAGCACCAUGAGUCACUACUUUGUUGAUCAUAGGUGUGACUCAUGUUUACAUGGAAAACUACUUAUACUGCUUCACAAGUAGAGGUAAUGGAAAGGAAAGGUUGUAGUGUGAUUAUUUUCACUAUGUUGAUAAAUGUAAAAACAAAGAAGAGAUCAAUUAUUAAAAAAACAGCCUCCUCCCAUAUCUGGGUCCCCUCCCAUAUAGCCACAUACAGCUUCAUAAUAUGUUUACGAGAUCUAAAUAAUCAGAUACCUCCCCUGAAAUACCCGAACAAUGAUGAUCAUACUUUAUACAGUUCUUCUCUUUCCAAUUGGACGAUGUACACAAGAAUAUACAACAAAAACUGUUUCUGUUGGAGAAGAUGUCACUCUGACAUGCAGCUGGAGAUGUAAUUCAUCAGGUUACCUCUACUGGAUGAAAGUUGUUGCUGGAAAUUUGCCUGAAGUCUUAGGAGCAACUUAUACUUUUGGUGGCAUCAUUGUUAACUCUACACCUCGAUUCAAAACAGAAAAAGAACAAGGAACUUUUCUUCUCCAUAUAAAGCAAACAGAGCUGAAAGACACUGCUUUUUACUACUGUGAGGAAAUAUUGGAGCUACAGAAAUCCCUUCAGAAUGUGACUUUUUUGAAAGUUAAAGGACCAGAAGCUGAAAUUACCACUGUUGUCCAAGAACUCCCAUCGCUUCCAGUCCAUCUAAGAGACUCCGUGACUCUUCAGUGUUUGGUCCAGUCUGAAUCUGAUGACCGAUGCAAGUU